UCAGUGUUCUGUGGGUUUCUCUGUCUAACAGUCAAUGAACAUAAACAUCAGUUUGAUGAUGAGAACAGGUGGACAGGUGGACAGGACAAAGAGUGGACAAGUGAACAGGUGGACAAGACAACAAGUGGGCAGGUGGACAGGACAACAGGUGAACAGGUGGACAGAUGAACAAGUGAACAGGUAGACAGGACAACAAGUGGACAGGACAACAGGUGGACAGGUGGACAGGACAACAGGUGGACAGGUGAACAGGACAACAGGUGGACAGGUGGACAGGACAACAAGUGGACAGGACAACAGGUGGACAGGACAACAGGUGAACAGGUGGACAGGUGGACAGGUGUGUUUCUGACCACACAGCGAUCAGACAGAUGGAGAUGCGUCUCAUCCCUCUGGU